UUAUUUUAGAAGUAAGGUGUGUACCCUGAUCAGAAUCAAUGUACUGGAUUAUCCCAUAUCUAGGUAUCAGGUGUUCUAAUAGAAUUUUUACCACCAUUUAUGCCGUAGCUCAUGCUACGGGAUAAGCUUCUACCCAUUGUG